GGGCCGAUGGGAGUAAGGGUAACUCCGCCCGCCUUGACAUCGGGAAUUACGGGUUCAAGUCCCGUUCGGUCCACCA
rnacentral:tRNA from 1 species